AUGGGCAUCAAUUUUCUCUGUAUCUUUAGUUCGGCUCUCUCUCCUUCUUUAGGAUUAUUAGCUCAAAUGGCAAUUAAGACAUUUGUUUCUAUUAGGCUCGGUGCUUUUCUUUGGAUUCAUGUGCAUCUCCUCUUUGCUCAUUUUCAAUUGGUGACGCAUAUAGUAGAUGCGGCAGGCAGCUUUCUUGAUUUUUCUCUAGGGCACAAGACUUGGUUCCUAAGGCAGGAAGAGGAGGAGCUCGGGCGCGCUGGUGAGAGGAGCCGAAGUGGAACGGUGGUGCCGGGUGAUGCGGUCGCCGGCGUCGGCCGGCAGCGGAUUGAGCAUCACGUGGGCCGCGAGCUUCUUUGUAAACCACAGGGGCUUCUUUGUAAAAAAGCGUGA
rnacentral:rRNA from 1 species